CUCUGCCAUCUCCGACUUAAGCCUCUGUUCUCAUACAUCAUCUGAGAUGUCAUAGAGGAGGUCCACACUUGCUGGCGUUGCUUUCCUAGAAACAAGGUCUGAAGAAGGUGUUCAAAGUAAAUUAGCUUAGAUAAAGAAACACCCAAAGGUCAAAAGAGUUCAUAGCUUAGAUAAGUAUGAUGCAUCCUACACUGAAUUUUAGAAUGAAGAAGGAGAGUUCACCUUGUCAUAUCUGGCACAUAUCACAUUCCCACAAUCAAAACCA
rnacentral:lncRNA from 1 species